GUGGCCGCGAAGAACGGUUAUCGCGAUGUCUGCACCCUCCUUCUGAACGCUGGUGCUUCUUUGCAAUUGGUCGAUAAGGACGGAGACACACCCUUACAUUGCGCGGCAUACGGCAAUCAGCCGGAGAUAGUGGAUUUACUGUUAUCGCGAGGCGCAGUCGUCGAUGUCGUCAACAACGUCAGACGUAGUGCUCUGCACAUAGCCGCGCUGAAAGGUCAGCGCGAACUUUGCGCCCUCCUUCUGGACGCUGGUGCUUUUUUGCAUUUGGUUGACGAGGACGAAGAUACACCAUUACAUUUCGCGGCAUACGACAAUCGGACGGAGAUAACGGAUCUGCUGUUAUCGCGAGGCGCUUCCGUUGAUGCCGUUGACAAUUACGGACGUAGUGCUCUGCAUAUCGCCGCGGAGAACAGUCAGCGUGAACUCUGCACCCUCCUUCUAGACGCUGGU